GUGUGACUGCGUACCUUUUGUAUAAUGGGUCAGCGACUUAUAUUCUGUAGCAAGGUUAACCGAAUAGGGGAGCCGAAGGGAAACCGAGUCUUAACUGGGCGUUAAGUUGCAGGGUAUAGACCCGAAACCCGGUGAUCUAGCCAUGGGCAGGUUGAAGGUUGGGUAACACUAACUGGAGGACCGAACCGACUAAUGUUGAAAAAUUAGCGGAUGACUUGUGGCUGGGGGUGAAAGGCCAAUCAAACCGGGAGAUAGCUGGUUCUCCCCGAAAGCUAUUUAGGUAGCGCCUCGUGAAUUCAUCUCCGGGGGUAGAGCACUGUUUCGGCAAGGGGGUCAUCCCGACUUACCAACCCGAUGCAAACUGCGAAUACCGGAGAAUGUUAUCACGGGAGACACACGGCGGGUGCUAACGUCCGUCGUGAAGAGGGAAACAACCCAGACCGCCAGCUAAGGUCCCAAAGUCAUGGUUAAGUGGGAAACGAUGUGGGAAGGCCCAGACAGCCAGGAUGUUGGCUUAGAAGCAGCCAUCAUUUAAAGAAAGCGUAAUAGCUCACUGGUCGAGUCGGCCUGCGCGGAAGAUGUAACGGGGCUAAACCAUGCACCGAAGCUGCGGCAGCGACGCUUAUGCGUUGUUGGGUAGGGGAGCGUUCUGUAAGCCUGCGAAGGUGUGCUGUGAGGCAUGCUGGAGGUAUCAGAAGUGCGAAUGCUGACAUAAGUAACGAUAAAGCGGGUGAAAAGCCCGCUCGCCGGAAGACCAAGGGUUCCUGUCCAACGUUAAUCGGGGCAGGGUGAGUCGACCCCUAAGGCGAGGCCGAAAGGCGUAGUCGAUGGGAAACAGGUUAAUAUUCCUGUACUUGGUGUUACUGCGAAGGGGGGACGGAGAAGGCUAUGUUGGCCGGGCGACGGUUGUCCCGGUUUAAGCGUGUAGGCUGGUUUUCCAGGCAAAUCCGGAAAAUCAAGGCUGAGGCGUGAUGACGAGGCACUACGGUGCUGAAGCAACAAAUGCCCUGCUUCCAGGAAAAGCCUCUAAGCAUCAGGUAACAUCAAAUCGUACCCCAAACCGACACAGGUGGUCAGGUAGAGAAUACCAAGGCGCUUGAGAGAACUCGGGUGAAGGAACUAGGCAAAAUGGUGCCGUAACUUCGGGAGAAGGCACGCUGAUAUGUAGGUGAAGUCCCUCGCGGAUGGAGCUGAAAUCAGUCGAAGAUACCAGCUGGCUGCAACUGUUUAUUAAAAACACAGCACUGUGCAAACACGAAAGUGGACGUAUACGGUGUGACGCCUGCCCGGUGCCGGAAGGUUAAUUGAUGGGGUCAGCGCAAGCGAAGCUCUUGAUCGAAGCCCCGGUAAACGGCGGCCGUAACUAUAACGGUCCUAAGGUAGCGAAAUUCCUUGUCGGGUAAGUUCCGACCUGCACGAAUGGCGUAAUGAUGGCCAGGCUGUCUCCACCCGAGACUCAGUGAAAUUGAACUCGCUGUGAAGAUGCAGUGUACCCGCGGCAAGACGGAAAGACCCCGUGAACCUUUACUAUAGCUUGACACUGAACAUUGAGCCUUGAUGUGUAGGAUAGGUGGGAGGCUUUGAAGUGUGGACGCCAGUCUGCAUGGAGCCGACCUUGAAAUACCACCCUUUAAUGUUUGAUGUUCUAACGUGGACCCGUGAUCCGGGUUGCGGACAGUGUCUGGUGGGUAGUUUGACUGGGGCGGUCUCCUCCUAAAGAGUAACGGAGGAGCACGAAGGUUGGCUAAUCCUGGUCGGACAUCAGGAGGUUAGUGCAAUGGCAUAAGCCAGCUUGACUGCGAGCGUGACGGCGCGAGCAGGUGCGAAAGCAGGUCAUAGUGAUCCGGUGGUUCUGAAUGGAAGGGCCA
rnacentral:rRNA from 1 species